CGAAGGAUGCAAGCGUUAUCCGGAUUCAUUGGGUUUAAAGGGAGCGUAGGUGGGUUUGUAAGUCAGUGGUGAAAGCCGGUCGCUUAACGAUCGAAUUGCCAUUGAUACUGCAGACCUUGAGUACAGAUGCUGUGGGCGGAAUAUGAUAUGUAGUGGUGAAAUACAUAGAGAUGUCAUAGAACACCGAUUGCGAAGGCAGCUCACAAAACUGUAACUGACACUGAGGCUCGAAAGUGCGGGGAUCAAACAGGAUUAGAUACCCUGGUAGUCCGCACUGUAAACGAUGAUUACUCGCUGCUGGGGGGCAACCUUCAGUGGCUGAGCGAAAGCGAUAAGUAAUCCACCUGGGGAGUACGCCGGCAACGGUG
rnacentral:rRNA from 1 species